rnacentral:rRNA from 1 species
GACGAACGCUGGCGGCGUGCUUAACACAUGCAAGUCGAACGGAAAGGCCUGCAGCUUGCUGCGGGUACUCGAGUGGCGAACGGGUGAGUAACACGUGGGUGAUCUGCCUUGCACUUCGGGAUAAGCUUGGGAAACUGGGUCUAAUACCGGAUAGGACAGCUGUUUAGUGUCAGUUGUGGAAAGUUUUUUCGGUGCAAGAUGAGCUCGCGGCCUAUCAGCUUGUUGGUGGGGUAAUGGCCUACCAAGGCGUCGACGGGUAGCCGGCCUGAGAGGGUGUACGGCCACAUUGGGACUGAGAUACGGCCCAGACUCCUACGGGAGGCAGCAGUGGGGAAUAUUGCACAAUGGGCGGAAGCCUGAUGCAGCGACGCCGCGUGGGGGAUGAAGGCCUUCGGGUUGUAAACUCCUUUCGACAGGGACGAAGCUUUUGUGACGGUACCUGUAUAAGAAGCACCGGCUAACUACGUGCCAGCAGCCGCGGUAAUACGUAGGGGGCUAGCGUUGUCCGGAAUCACUGGGCGUAAAGGGUUCGCAGGCGGAAAUGCAAGUCAGGUGUAAAAGGCAGUAGCUUAACUACUGUAAGCAUUUGAAACUGCAUAUCUUGAGAAGAGUAGAGGUAAGUGGAAUUUUUAGUGUAGCGGUGAAAUGCGUAGAUAUUAAAAAGAAUACCGGUGGCGAAGGCGACUUACUGGGCUCAUUCUGACGCUGAGGAACGAAAGCGUGGGUAGCAAACAGGAUUAGAUACCCUGGUAGUCCACGCUGUAAACGAUGAGUGCUAGGUAUCGGAAUAAUUCGGUGCCGCAGUUAACACAUUAAGCACUCCGCCUGGGGAGUACGUGCGCAAGCACGAAACUCAAAGGAAUUGACGGGGACCCGCACAAGCAGCGGAGCAUGUGGUUUAAUUCGAAGCAACGCGAAGAACCUUACCAGGGCUUGACAUACUGAGGACCGGUAUAGAGAUAUACCCUCUUCUUCGGAAGCCUCAAUACAGGUGGUGCAUGGUUGUCGUCAGCUCGUGUCGUGAGAUGUUCAGUUAAGUCUGGCAACGAGCGCAACCCCUAUCUUUAGUUACCAGCAUUUCGGAUGGGGACUCUAAAGAGACUGCCGAUGAUAAAUCGGAGGAAGGUGGGGAUGACGUCAAAUCAUCAUGCCCUAUAUGCCCUGGGCUACACACGUGCUACAAUGGAAGAUACAAAGGGAAGCGAAAUAGUGAUAUUAAGCAAACCUCAAAAAGUCUUUCCCAGUUCGGAUUGUACUCUGCAACUCGAGUACAUGAAGAUGGAGUUGCUAGUAAUCGCAGAUCAGAAUGCUGCGGUGAAUACGUUCCCGGGCCU